UACGUAGGGUGCGAGCGUUGUCCGGAAUUAUUGGGCGUAAAGAGCUCGUAGGCGGUUUGUUGCGUCGGCUGUGAAAACCUGAGGCUCAACCUCAGGCCUGCAGUCGAUACGAGCAGACUAGAGUGUUGCAGGGGAGACUGGAAUUCCUGGUGUAGCGGUGAAAUGCGCAGAUAUCAGGGGGAACACCGGUGGCGAAGGCGGGUCUCUGGGCAACAACUGACGCUGAGGAGCGAAAGCGUGGGGAGCGAACAGG
rnacentral:rRNA from 1 species